AAAAAUGUAAUACUUGGCAUUGUUACAUACCAUCAAGUUAUCUCCAACUUAUGACAACCAUAUAGAUGAAUGCCCUACAAAAUAUCCUGUCCUUCACAGCCCUGCUCAGUUCCUGUAAACUGAAGGCUGUGAUUUUCUUUAUGGAAUUUAUCCACAGCUCAUAUUUCAUUUCCCCUGAUAUCUUGAAGUUGCUCCAAAAGAAAGCCUGGGCUUGAUUUGGGCUAGGACCUACUUCUUUGUCUUUUUCUUGGUCUAGGGUAUUUGUAAGCUUCUCCUCCAGCAACAUGUUUCAAAUGCAUUCAUUUUCUUCCUGUUCACUUCCUUUACUGUCUAACUUUCCCACUCAUACCCAGUGAUCAGGAAAUAAUAGUGUGGAUGAUCUUAGUCUUGGUCUUCAGAGAAAAUUGUUGUAUGAUUGUUGUUUUCUUAAUGCUUAGCUGCAGGCCUGCUUUUGCACUUUAUUCUUGUGUUUUCAUCAAUAUUUGUUUCAUUUUACUGCUGCUUUCUACCAGUAAUAUGGUAUUAUCUGCAUAUCUUAAAUUAUUGAUUCAAUAUACUCAAAUGUAAAAUAGAAUUGUUAAGUGAAGGUCCAUUAUACAUAAGUGGAAUAUCAAACAGAUGUAGUCUGAUAAGGGUAUUCAUCACAAAAUAAACACCUAUCACUUAUUCCACUACCAGAUUCAUAUACCACAUUUUUCCUCUAUUAGAAUAUGCUAAGCAAACUGAGAAGUGUUGCAUACUACAAAAAUAAACAAAUCUUAGUGAAUAAGCUUAGUGUUAUCACCAGAGUGUGCCAGAGCAUGUCACCAGACUUCUGCCAGUUUAGGAUAUGAAUAUAACACAAAAAAUGAUGCAAGAAUUUCAGUACAAAACCUGAUCCAACUUCUACAGGGCUAGUAGUUGCCAUGCAUGCAUACACACAUACACACCCCACAAAUCUGACUAGAGUAGAUAGAAUUUAUUGUAUCUGAGAAGAAUUUGAUGUCAUAUUUGACACAGGUCCAGUUGAUAUAAAUUUGCUCCCUUUUUGUCCCCCUUUUUUCAGGAGAAGGAGUUUGAACAGCUCACAAUCAGACAUAUAUAGCAAUUGCCUUUCAAACCUCCCUUUGACACCAGUUAUCCCUCUAGACAUUGCCCAGGUGAAGCUUUUCUUUUACAGACCUGUGUAGAUGAGGACAAGUCCAAGUAUAAAAAUAUACUGUUAAAAAUUACUAGCCAAUCAUGCACAUUUGGUGUGGAUUUUUCUUCUUUUAAAAAUGUACUGUCAAGCACUGACAACCCAUCCAAUAUGCUCCUUGGACACUUUGAAGGAAUGUCACUGGUGGUGACACAGGCAAGAUCAUCAAAAGCUGCAAAGGGAAUUUUGCUGCUCUUGACUCACAUAUAACCCACUGCUGUGUUUAAAUGAAAUUACAAUCCAUUGUGGAUUAAACAAAACUUACAUGGGUUCUUAGGAUGGAUUGUUUAAAAGCAAAGCAACACAACACAACAGAAGCCGCCAAAGCAGCCUGGGUUUGAAUUACACAACAACCAACCAUGGCUACUCACCUCCAAUGGAUUGCCAUAGUGCCUGUACCAAUUGGGUGUAUUGCGUUCACAACAGAACGUGUGUGGGUGUCUGUAUUCUAUGUUAGUCUGUUUUUAAUUCUGAUCUAAAAUGCUUCUUUAUUGUUGUAUCAUAGGCAUUAUUAUAUCUCCUAUUAAAGAUAUCCCUAGGACAGUUUUCAACAUAAUAAAAUAUGCCAUUUAUUUAUUGUAUUUAUGUUUUCUUUUGUUAUAUACAAAUUUUGAAUUUUAUUAGGAAAAUGGUAUUUAUUGUUUUUAUCAAGUUCCCAACCCAAACUGCAUAUUUUUUACUGGUGUUAGAUAAGGGUCUUGUCCUUGUCAUUAGGUAUAAAAGGAAAAACAUUAGGAAGCAUAAAUUGAUAGCAGUAUUCAUUUAAGGAGGAAGCACAAAUCUAUAUGAUAGGAUAUCUGGGAUUGUAAAUAAUGGCAAAUGAACUGCAUAAGUCGCAAAAGCAACAGGACAAAAGAAAUUAAGAAGAGGAAAUAGCAAAAUUGUGUUCCAAUAUACUAAGAUCAGCAAUCUGUAUUCUGCAGCAAAUAUAGGAUUUCAGUAAGAGAGAUUAGAGACAAGUCCCACACCUGUGAUUCAAAAUGCUAUUACUGUCAAAGGCCAUCUUUAUAUGGCCUUCAAGAGGCUCCAUAUUACUUAUGAAGUAACCACAGUGAUUUUAAAUUAUAAUAAAAUGGCUGUGCAGUACUUUGCUUAAAGGCAGAAUCCUCUGUAUAUUUAAUCAUAAGAUGCCCUAUAAGUCUCACUAUGACCCAUGGCUAGCUGGGAGUUGUAGGGCUACUUUAUCUUCUAAGCAUACACAGGACUGAACCCUAAAUUACAACUGCAACAUUGUUCAAGAUCCAACAAUCAAUUACAGCAGGUAGUUUGCCAUGAGUCAUGCCUACCUGGGUGAUCACAUCUGUGUUUUCUGACUCCUUAGUAAUUCACCUGCCACCAUGAUUUCAGCAUUAUCAGUAGUUAAAGAACAUGCAGUUAGCCUUUACUCUGCAAGUGAUAGACAGCAUCACAUGCAGUGACAUUUUGAAGCAGGCAGCCCACCCAGAUGACUGAUGGAUAGUCCCCAUUCUUCACCAAGGAACUUCCAGCUUGCAAUUAAAUCGAAGUAUUGUAGCAGAACACUAAGUUAAGAUCUACCAGAACAGCCUCUUUUAAUUGCACGAACAAUCUAAUUUUCUAGGAUACAGUAAAAAAGGGACAUAAAAUGUCAAAUAUUUCAGCAGAAAAAGGCCUUCACAUCAGAACUGUGUGUUACCGCAUUUAAAGGCCACUUUUACAGUUUUUAAUUAGUUUAAAUGUAUGUAUAAGAAAAAGAAAUCAGUGUUUCUUAUAAUAAUCUAUUACUCAAA